CAAGGGGGAAGGAGCCUUCAGGGAAGAACUGCCCAGAGAUGCUGCACUUAGGGCUAAUGGGGAUCCAGGAGCUCACCAGAACUCUGAACUUCACGCAGCCACUGGAGGUCGGGUAUCUUCAAGGGCCACAUGGGGGUCCUCAUAAUCGUGGCCCCAGGCUACCCAAAGGGCUUGGUUUAAAACAGAUGCCAUUGAUCACAGACCUAUAACAAACCCUCGGGCUAAGCCAACUUAUGCUGACCACUUGGUUUCCUUCCUACAUGGACCUGUCUACCUAGCACAUGAAGCUAGGCAUCUAGGAAGUCCAGGCACCUAGUCUGAUCACCAACAAAACACCCAAGGGGAAAGGAGUGGAUUGUAGGGGAGGAGGAGCCCCACAGAAGACUCUUGGUCAUCGUGACCUGCACUGGUGUCAACAAACCCUGAACGAUCAGUGUGAAUAGCAGUCAUGUGUCUGAUGCUGUCUUCUCAGGCACUGAACAUAAAACUUUUGCUCUGAAAUAUAAGUUUGGCAACAACUGACACAGCAUGUAGUGACAACAGCAGGAAGUCCUUCUUGCUACUUGCACC